UCAUGUUGUCUUGCCAGUUCCAUGAAUGAAAUACCAAGGUAAGAUCGCCAAAUUUGUUUCCUGUAACUAAUUCUUCGGACUUAUAUCUUUUCUUCACAAAGUUAUGUUUAUCGUUCGCAAAAGUAUAGUUCACUUAAAAAUAUGAUUUUCCAAAUAUUAUCCAUCUUUCAUUUCUCAGUGAUUACUUAGGUCCAUUGUAUCUAUAGUGUAAAAAGAACACACAAAGCAAUUAAGUUGAUACAUGCAAAUUCUAGUGCGAUUAAUUGCUACUGUUAGGGACUCAUUUUGGACAAGUGCAGGACUGAUUACUUGAACGGAGGGUUGCUGAGUAUCAUUCGUAGUUAAAGUGCAACCUUCCUUAGUUACUAGGUUUUCAUGAUACCUCAAGGAUUAUUAUGUCUGUGCACAGCCGUAGUUACUUAGAAUGGAAUACUGUAGUAAAUGCAAGGCACUAUUAUUGACGGUUUAUGACACUCUAUUUUCAUACAUGAAGAAAUGGAAUUUGAUGUCGUUUGCGGGUUCAACUAUUCAUUUCUAGUAAUUUGGAAACUAAAUUUUGUAAGGAAUUGGGACAGUUAAAUUUACUUCGUAAUAAAUAGCACAAUAGUAAUGUCAAGGAAAAGUAAUAUACCUUGUUGCAAGUCCAUGAUGCAUUUGCCCAUAUCACUUAUUGGGUUAGACUGAAAUUUUAAGCACUCAUCUCCUUUGGAAGACUGACUUCCAGGAAGUACAAGCUGCCAAUUGAAGUUUUAUCGCACGUCAAGAGACAUUUCCAAACAUAUGUGCAUUGAUGUGAAGGAAAAUGCAGCUGAUAUAAAUGGUAAUGGUACACCAAUUUAUGUAUCGGUGCAUUGUUAGAUAAUGUUAAUCAAAUUAUGGUUUUUGUAUCAAUUCCUCGUCAAAUUAUGAUCUUAUAUCACUACAUGUUUAUGAGUUUUCUUCUGUAUAUUACUAAUACAGUGCCUUAAAUUUGUAUGAAGCAGUUGUUUCUCUUGGGGGUGUAAAUAUAUGUAAUGAGUCAUGAACAAAAGGUAUUCCGAAGUCUUUUUAGAUAGUUAUAUAUUGUACUAAAAUUCAUUAAGUUAUUAAAAAAAUAUGAAGAUAUAAAUUUUCAUACAAGACCUUUGUGAUUUUUCAGUUUUGACAUACUGGCACACGUAAAAGAUAAUUGCCUUAUGUAAUUUGAAUUGCAUUGCAUAUCAUAUGAGUGAGUGUAACACACCUCAUGGACAUAAAAGCCAUGCCAACGAAUACAGCUUUCACAGCAUCCUUGCGUCCAGCGUAUUCAAUUGCUAACGGCAGCAUCUCAUACAGCGUCAGAAAUGCCAUUACUCCUCCCACUGUGCAAAAUGGAAAAUUUGAAUAAAUAUUAUGUUACUUACCAAAACUUAUUAACAUUUUUAAACUGUUAGUUUCUCAUUACCUAAUCCAAGUAGACCUUCCAAUAUUUCUGGAUUUAAGUUGCUCGGAAAUAGGUAUGCUGCAAGUAGCACAAUUUUAUAGUCAUUGUUUGAGAUACAAAAGAGGAAAAUAUAAAUUAAGUGCACAAACUCAACGAAACUCAACCUAGGAUGUUACUCAUUAAGGGGAAAAAAUCUGCUUGUAAAGAUAAGUGCUAGAGAAAGAUUAGUCGCAAUUGGUUGUUUGCUUUUAAUGCAGCUCUGCAUCUCAUUGAUUAGAGCAUUUUUUAUGCUCUAGUAUGUGCCGCGAUCCAUUUUCAGUGACUGAGCUUCUCAAACAGGUAGUAACAUGGGUUAGUACAUCAUGACCUCAUGGGGAAAACUCAAUUGCUUUGAACAAGUCACUUGUUAUAGAAUAAGCGGAGUCAACAUACCCACGAUAAUUACACCUACUGGCUCUGCAAAACCAGCAAGUGUUGCUAGUUUGAACGCCUGCCAUUUGCUGCAUCAUAGACACAAAAUAACAUUAUUAUUAAACUGAAAAGCUUAUUUUCUUUCCAAAUCAGUGUGACUAUAAUAUUUAUUAUGAACAUUUAAUGUAUUUUAGCAAUUAUAUGCUUAUUUUUUAUUUAUACAACAAAUCAUAUGCUUCUUUAGGUAAUAACUAGUUCGACUAGCCUUCUGAAUUAAACCAACUAAGCCAUGACUAUUUUCUGAUCAUUAAGAUGAGAUUUGUACAAAAUACUCCUACAUGUAAUUCAGCACUGUCAUAUUAAAAUAUGUACUUCUUUGUUUAGCUGCAAGUCUCCUCAACCCAGAAUUCACAUAUACCAAGAAGACACUAUAUCUAAUAAGUUGAUGAGGAAUGACCAUGCAUACCCCUAUUAAAUGAGAUACUGCAAGCACUUAACUCUUCAAGAGCACAUUAAAGUAGGGGUAGAAUGGAGUAUUGCAUUAACCUAUUGACCCCUUAUGGAUAGUUAUUUCGAAGUUGAGACUUCUCAUGCCAGGGACAGUUAAUAGUGAAGGGGAGAGAGUGUAAAAUAUAUGAUGCAUAUUGCAUAAUAAUUUUAGCUAGUACCUGCAAGUGGCAAAAUAUGCAGGGAGAGCUACAGCAAUACCCUGCACAUGAACAGAAAAUUCCUACAAGUAUUAGCAGAUUCUUUGAUCUUGUAAACUUAGUUAUGUCAUGAGAAAUAUACCAACUUUUCAUAAGAAUCAGUUGUGUAAAACUUCACCAACUAUUGUAUUGUACUAUUAUGUAUCUUAAAAAUGGCAUAUCUGCUAUGCAUUUGCACCUUGAAAAGGUGGGGAGUAUCUAGUCCCAAUUUUGUAUGUUGGUGACUGAUUGAGAUUACGAAUGGAAAUUCCACUUUCAGUUUCCGCCAGAAGGGGUAUAGUUUAGUCAUUGUAGAUACUUAGAUGACAUUUUCUGUUCCAUAGCCAUUCCCUAUUCCAUCUAAAAGCCAUUAUAGAUUCAGUUACCUCCGGGAUGUAGUGUAGAGCUAUAGCAAUAACCAAGUUAAGGCCAACACGAAAUCCCUGAAAGGUAGAUAAGAUUAGUGGGAUAUACAACAAAUAUUACUACUCUUCAUUACUCAGUGUCUUGUUCAUACUUAUUCGAUAUGUUAACAGUGUUAUGGGCUAAAAUAAACAUGUGUCCAGAAUAACAGCAAAAUUGCUAUUCUACUAUAACAUGCACAAACGGAGAUGUAAUAUCUGUAGACACAUGACCCGUAGAUUUUGUUGUAUGGAGUGUUCAAUACUUCUAUAUGAUUUACUCCCUCCAUUCCAAAAUAUAGUGCGCCCGCGCUUCCCGAGGUCCAAUUUUGACCAUAAAUUUAACCAACGAGACCGACUGCGUCGGGAGAAAAAAUUAUAUAAUUGAAAACUUUUGAAUACGAAUUCACUGGUAUAACUUUUGCUCCCGCCGCAGUCGGUCUUGUUGGUUAAAUUUAUGGUCAAAGUUGAAGCACGGGAAUAGAGGAAGCGCUAUAUUUUGGAACGGAGGGAGUAUCAGGUAUAUAAAUUAAUAGAAAUAAUACCAGUCAAUAAUAUAUAUAUUCAAUUACCUGUCAAAAUAUAGUUGAAAUUUAUCAUAAAAAUUAAUUCAAUGGCAAAGGAUAUAUAUACAAAAGCAAUUUACUGUUUUUGUCAAAUUUGGUAGGCCUGCCUAUAAUAUACUGUAUUUUCUCAAAUAUAUACCUUUGCGGUUCCGAGAAACGCUGCAGUACCCACCGGGAAGUUUUGCAAACUCACACCAGCAACUGUUGACAUGAGAACUUCGUUCAUCAAUGCGAUCAUUGAAAAUAAUAAACUUGUAGGAAAGGGGCAUAUAGUUACAUGUAUAUGCAUAUAUUGCCCUACAUAAUUUUGAUAACUUUGUAUUUUCAUGUGCGUGAUUUAUUUUUCUGACAUGCGCACUUUAUGGAAAACUACUGCUGCUAUCACUUGCCAACAUAGAAUUAGUUUUAGGUGUUCAACAGGUGCUGUUGAAAUAUAACUAUUUUCGGUCAUAACUACUUUUACUGCCCGUAUCACUUGUUAAAUCAUGUCUAUGAUCUUAAACUGUAUUUAGGUGUUCAAUUUGAAUAAUUAAUCUAAUAUUUCUGUACACUGUCUUGUAUGAACAAGCCCCAUACAUUUAUUUGGUGUCAAUAUGCUCGAGCUCGGUACUAAAAUAGUAUAAUCUAAAAUAUUAGGUAUAAUUAUAUAACAAAAUCAUCUGAAGAACACCUAUCACCAAAAAUUGGAUUUCUGUAUAAAUUAUUAAAGGGCAUGUUUUCUCUUUACGGGCUCAUGUUGUUGAAAACACUGUGAUGCAUUUUCGGUACUAUAUGUUACAAGUUUUGCAAGUACAUAAGACUUACCAACUGCGGUGACAAUUACACUAAAGAUGACUCUUCUUCGGUGUCUCAUCAUAAGUUCCUUCCGUGCUGUACUGUUAACAGUCUUCUUUCCCAAAUGAAAAAACAUAAUGGAUAAUCCUAUGUUACUUUUUUAAUAAAUGCCGAUUGAAAAAGGCUGUUAGCAAAGUUGAGGGAAUUUAUACUUCUUUGUCAUUUUCAUCAGGUGGGCUGCAUUCUGGCUCAGGGAAAAUAUCGGCUAUUGCUGAAAAUAGAAGUGCUCCAGCAAAAAACUGCAAAGCAAGGAUGAAAAGGGUAAGAAAUGGUACAAAUGCUUUGCAAAACAUCUUGCUUAAAACGCUCACCCAAAGGUUGCCUUUCAGAAAACCAAUUGCAUUAACAGCAUCAUAAGCCAGGUCAAAGAAGGACAUGCUCAACAUGAGCCCAGUAGCAAAUCCCUAAAAAGAGUUGUCAAAACAAUUGUUAAACAUUGAUUUGUGUACAAAUAAACCUAUGUUGUUCUUUAAAUGUGACCUUAUGGUCAGAGUUAAGUAAAUUGUUGUAGCAUUUCACCUGUAGUAUCCCGAGUGUUCUGUUGUUUGGGGCAUGAUUUAGUAUUGCCAGUAGUGCACCUGAUGAGUAGCAAUAAAGUAUCAUUGGCAAAAGUAGUAGGCAAAUGCUAGCUAUCAAGAGGUACAACAUCUUGCAUUUGAUCUCUGCCUAGUCUAUAUCAUUCCAACGCUUUCCAAAUAAAUUAUGGGAAAGCUCCCAUUGAGAAAUAAAAUUGCUUUUGGCUGUCACUUGAGUGAUAGCAAUAAUAGUAUCUAUAAAGCAUCAGCUUAUGGGCCCCCUAUUCACGUUAGAUCCUGGUUAUAUCAUAUUGGGCUGCUUACGAACUUAACACUUAAAGGCUUACUAACUAAACACUCGUCAGUUUUAAAAGCUGGAGCGUUUUUCCAGAAAACUUAAACAUACACCUAAAGGCUAGUUGGUGUCGAGGAUGGGUAGGGUGAGUCGGACACAGUGCAAAGAUGGAGGGGGAUACGAAUUUGGGCGAUGAGUGAGUGGAUUCCGCUGUGGAAGCAGGUGUGCUGAACUAACAGGUAAGGACGUGUAAUCCUCAUGCUCAUGUGUGCUUCAUCGAAAAUAAUGUGUACACAAAUUCUUCCCAUUCUUGGUGUAACAGUAGCAGUCUAUUUUCUCUCAGCUGUUAGAUGCCAAGUAUAAACUGAAAAGAUUGAUUACUCAAUAUUAUGUUUCACUUUGAACAAACUACCAUACUAACGGCCCACAUAACAUUCUCACAGGAUAUAUAUGAAUGCCCCAUGGACCUUGUACAAUUUCGUGCUUAAGAUGUACUGUGAGAAAAGAAUCUUGAUUGGAGCAAGUAAAUGGAAAACCCACACUACCAGUUACAGCUUUUGAAGGGAAACAAUAGCAAAGGCAAUGCAUGCAUCAAAUGAAACACUUGAUGCCAAUGAUGAAUACAUGAUAAUAGUAUGAACAGACAGCAGGAGUGAAGGGCUGAAGGAAGAUGCGUGUAUGCG
rnacentral:lncRNA from 1 species